rnacentral:rRNA from 1 species
GACGAACGCUGGCGGCGUGCCUAAUACAUGCAAGUAGAACGCUGAAGGAGGAGCUUGCUUCUCCGGAUGAGUUGCGAACGGGUGAGUAACGCGUAGGUAACCUGCCUGGUAGCGGGGGAUAACUAUUGGAAACGAUAGCUAAUACCGCAUAAUAGUAGAUGUUGCAUGACAUUUACUUAAAAGGUGCAAUUGCAUCACUACCAGAUGGACCUGCGUUGUAUUAGCUAGUUGGUGGGGUAACGGCUCACCAAGGCGACGAUACAUAGCCGACCUGAGAGGGUGAUCGGCCACACUGGGACUGAGACACGGCCCAGACUCCUACGGGAGGCAGCAGUAGGGAAUCUUCGGCAAUGGACGGAAGUCUGACCGAGCAACGCCGCGUGAGUGAAGAAGGUUUUCGGAUCGUAAAGCUCUGUUGUAAGAGAAGAACGAGUGUGAGAGUGGAAAGUUCACACUGUGACGGUAUCUUACCAGAAAGGGACGGCUAACUACGUGCCAGCAGCCGCGGUAAUACGUAGGUCCCGAGCGUUGUCCGGAUUUAUUGGGCGUAAAGCGAGCGCAGGCGGUUAGAUAAGUCUGAAGUUAAAGGCUGUGGCUUAACCAUAGUACGCUUUGGAAACUGUUUAACUUGAGUGCAAGAGGGGAGAGUGGAAUUCCAUGUGUAGCGGUGAAAUGCGUAGAUAUAUGGAGGAACACCGGUGGCGAAAGCGGCUCUCUGGCUUGUAACUGACGCUGAGGCUCGAAAGCGUGGGGAGCAAACAGG